rnacentral:rRNA from 1 species
GCAUGAAGUUGGAAUCACUAGUAAUCGCGGAUCAGCAUGCCGCGGUGAAUGCGUUCUCAGGCCUUGUACACACCGCCCGUCACACCAUGAGAGUUGGCAAUACCCAACGUACGUGAUCUAACCCGCAAGGGAGGAAGCGUCCUAAGGUAGGGUCAGCGAUUGGGGUGAAGUCGUAACAAGGUAUC